rnacentral:misc_RNA from 1 species
GAUGAAGAACGUAGCGAAAUGCGAUAAGUAAUGUGAAUUGCAGAAUUCAAUGAAUCAUCGAAUCUUUGAACGCACAUUGCGCCCGGCAGUACUCUGCCGGGCAUGCCUGUUCGAGCGUCAUUUCAACCCUCAAGCCCUGCUUGGUGUUGGGGUCCCACGGCCGCCGUGGGCCCUGAAAGGAAGUGGCGGGCUCGCUACAACUCCGAGCGUAGUAAUUCAUUAUCUCGCUUAGGGCGUUGGGCGGCGCUCCUGCCGUUAAAGAACCAUCUUUAACUCAAGGUUGACCUCGGAUCAGGUAGGAAUACCCGCUGAACUUAAGCAUAUCAAUAAGCGGAGGA